UACGUAGGGUGCAAGCGUUGUCCGGAAUUAUUGGGCGUAAAGAGCUCGUAGGCGGUCUGUCGCGUCUGCUGUGAAAACUCAGGGCUUAACCCUGAGCUUGCAGUGGGUACGGGCAGACUAGAGUGCGGUAGGGGAGACUGGAAUUCCUGGUGUAGCGGUGAAAUGCGCAGAUAUCAGGAGGAACACCGGUGGCGAAGGCGGGUCUCUGGGGCAACAACUGACGCUGAGGAGCGAAAGCGUGGGGAGCGAACAGG
rnacentral:rRNA from 1 species